AGUUCGCCUGCCCCCUGUUCUGUCUGUGCUUUCUGGAUUGAGACCUGGACCUGGACCUGGACGCCCUGUUGGAUUCUCCCUUGGUAACCGCUGCCUGAGUUAAUCGGAUUUUCCCCUGACAAGACCUGGACCGGACCUGGACAAAGAGCCCUGGAUAACCCCCUCUCGGACGCCUUCGUAACAAGGAGUCAGAGUUCUGCCCUCAGCACGUCCAGGAGCGGCCAGUCGCAGAGUGCGAGCCGAACCAGGGACCGAGCCGCCAGCGUCAAAAUAAAGACUGAUAUUAUUUUUGUACUCACUUGUUUUCGGGUAUUUCUUGGGUCCUCCUAAAUUCAUCACA